AUUGAACGCUAGCGGGAUGCCUUACACAUGCAAGUCGAACGGAGUGGCGAACGGGUGAGUAAUGUAUCGGAACGUGCCCAGUAGCGGGGGAUAACUACGCGAAAGCGUAGCUAAUACCGCCUACUAUUGGAGCGGCCGAUAUCGGAUUAGCUAGUGGGUGGGGUAACGGCUCACCAAGGCGACGAUCCGUAGCUGGUUUGAGAGGACGACCAGCCACGCUGGUACGGAGACAAGGCCCAGACUCCUUCGGUAGGCAGCAGUGGGGAAUUUUGGACGAUGGGGGAAGCUCUGAACAAGCCAAGCCGCGUGUGCGUUGAGGGCCUACGGGUUUUAAAACACUUUUGACAGGAAAGCGGAACCUGCAGAAUAAGCACCGGCUAACGACGUGCCAGCAGCCGCGGUAAUAC
rnacentral:rRNA from 1 species